GUGCCAGCAGCCGCGGUAAUACGUAGGGUGCGAGCGUUGUCCGGAAUUAUUGGGCGUAAAGAGCUCGUAGGCGGUUUGUCGCGUCGGCCGUGAAAACCUGCAGCUUAACUGUGGGCCUGCGGUCGAUACGGGCAGACUUGAGUUCGGCAGGGGAGACUGGAAUUCCUGGUGUAGCGGUGAAAUGCGCAGAUAUCAGGAGGAACACCGGUGGCGAAGGCGGGUCUCUGGGCCGAUACUGACGCUGAGGAGCGAAAGCGUGGGGAGCGAACAGGAUUAGAUACCCUGGUAGUCC
rnacentral:rRNA from 1 species